rnacentral:rRNA from 1 species
UCCCGUAUGUGGCACGGACUCCCGUUACUCUGUGAUACACUCUCAACGAGUCGAGUUGUUUGGGAAUGCAGCUCCAAAUGGGUGGUAAAUGCCAUCUAAAGCUAAAUAUUGGCGAGAGACCGAUAGCAAACAAGUACCGUGAGGGAAAGAUGAAAAGCACUUUGGAAAGAGAGUGAAACAGUACGUGAAAUUGUUGAAAGGGAAACGCUUGAAGUCAGUCGUGCCCUUUGGGAUUCAGCCUUGCUUCUGCUUGGUUUACUUCUCUUUGGGUGGGUCAACAUCAGUUUGGGUCGGAGGAGAAAGACUUGGGGAAGGUGGCAGCAUUCGUGCUGUGUUAUAGCCCCUUGUUGUAUACUUCGAUUUGGACUGAGGACCGCAGCACGCCUUUGGCCGGGGCUCGCCCACGUACGUGCUUAGGAUGUUGGCAUAAUGGCUUUAAGCGACCCGUCUUGAAACACGGACCAAGGAGUCUAACAUGUGCGCGAGUGUUUGAGUGUUAAACUCAGACGCGAAAUGAAAGUGAAAGGUUGGGAACACUUAUGUGUGCACCGACGCCCGGAGCUGACCUUCUGUGACGCAUCUGCGGUAGAGCGUAUAUGUUGGGACCCGAAAGAUGGUGAACUAUGCCUGAAUAGGGUGAAGCCAGAGGAAACUCUGGUGGAGGCUCGUAGCGAUUCUGACGUGCAAAUCGAUCGUCAAAUUUGGGUAUAGGGGCGAAAGACUAAUCGAACCAUCUAGUAGCUGGUUCCUGCC